rnacentral:tRNA from 2 species
GGGCCCGUAGGGUAGCCAGGACAUCCUCAUGGGCUUCGAACCCAUUGACCCGCGUUCGAAUCGCGGCGGGCCCG